rnacentral:rRNA from 1 species
GCAGUCGAGCGAGAAGCUACCUUCGGGUAGUGGACAGCGGCGCACGGGUGAGUAACGCGUACACAAUCUACCUUAUAGAGGAGAAUAGCCCUGGGAAACUGGGAUUAAUGCUCCAUAGUAUUACACUUUGGCAUCAAGGUGUAAUUAAAGCUCCGGCGCUAUAAGAUGAGUGUGCGUACUAUUAGCUAGUUGGUAAGGUAACGGCUUACCAAGGCUACGAUAGUUAGGGGGCGUGAGAGCGUGACCCCCCACACGGGUACUGAGACACGGACCCGACUCCUACGGGAGGCAGCAGUAAGGAAUAUUGGACAAUGGGCGCAAGCCUGAUCCAGCCAUCCCGCGUGGAGGAUGACUGCCCUAUGGGUUGUAAACUCCUUUUAUUUGAGAAGAAACGCCUGGAUUUAUCCGGGCCUGACGGUAUCUUAUGAAUAAGCACCGGCUAACUCCGUGCCAGCAGCCGCGGUAAUACGGAGGGUGCAAGCGUUAUCCGGAAUCACUGGGUUUAAAGGGUGCGUAGGUGGUUUAGUAAGUCAGAUGUGAAAGCCCGGCGCUCAACGUCGGAAUUGCAUUUGAUACUGCUGAACUUGAAUCAGGUUGAGGUGGGCGGAAUGUGGCAUGUAGCG